rnacentral:rRNA from 1 species
AUUGAACGCUGGCGGCAGGCCUAACACAUGCAAGUCGAACGGUAACAGGAAGAAGCUUGCUUCUUUGCUGACGAGUGGCGGACGGGUGAGUAAUGUCUGGGAAACUGCCUGAUGGAGGGGGAUAACUACUGGAAACGGUAGCUAAUACCGCAUAACGUCGCAAGACCAAAGAGGGGGACCUUCGGGCCUCUUGCCAUCGGAUGUGCCCAGAUGGGAUUAGCUAGUAGGUGGGGUAACGGCUCACCUAGGCGGCGAUCCCUAGCUGGUCUGAGAGGAUGACCAGCCACACUGGAACUGGGACACGGUCCAGGCUCCUACGGGAGGCAGCAGUGGGGAAUAUUGCACAAUGGGCGCAAGCCUGAUGCAGCCAUGCCGCGUGUAUGAAGAAGGCCUUCGGGUUGUAAAGUACUUUCAGCGGGGAGGAAGGGAGUAAAGUUAAUACCUUUGCUCAUUGACGUUACCCGCAGAAGAAGCACCGGCUAACUCCGUG